AGAUUGAACGCUGGCGGCAUGCUUUACACAUGCAAGUCGAGCGGCAGCACGACGUGUAGCAAUACACGUUGGUGGCGAGCGGCGAACGGGUGAGUAAUACAUCGGAACGUGUCCAGUAGUGGGGGAUAACCAGUCGAAAGAUUGGCUAAUACCGCAUACGAUCUACGGAUGAAAGCGGGGGACUCGCAAGGGCCUCGCGCCAUUGGAGCGGCCGAUGUCCGAUUAGCUAGUUGGCGGGGUAACGGCCCACCAAGGCGACGAUCGGUAGCUGGUCUGAGGGGAUGAUCAGCCACACUGGAACUGAGACACGGUCCAGACUCCGUACGGGAGCAGCAGGUGGGGAAUUUUGGAACAAGUGGGCGCGAAGCCUGGAUCCGAGCCAUGCCGCGUGAGUGAAGAGGCCUUCGGCUAGUAAGCGUCUUCGGCGGGACGAAACGGUCCGAGACAACACCACGGACUAAGUAGACGUACU
rnacentral:rRNA from 1 species